rnacentral:rRNA from 1 species
AGUCUCGUGAGACUUUUUGCAUGUACCUUAUGAAUAAGGACCGGCUAAUUCCGUGCCAGCAGCCGCGGUAAUACGGAAGGUCCGGGCGUUAUCCGGAUUUAUUGGGUUUAAAGGGAGCGUAGGCCGGAGAUUAAGCGUGUUGUGAAAUGUAGAUGCUCAACAUCUGAACUGCAGCGCGAACUGGUUUCCUUGAGUACGCACAAAGUGGGCGGAAUUCGUGGUGUAGCGGUGAAAUGCUUAGAUAUCACGAAGAACUCCGAUUGCGAAGGCAGCUCACUGGAGCGCAACUGACGCUGAAGCUCGAAAGUGCGGGUAUCGAACAGGAUUAGAUACCCUGGUAGUCCGCACGGUAAACGAUGGAUGCCCGCUGUUGGUCUGAAUAGGUCAGCGGCCAAGCGAAAGCAUUAAGCAUCCCACCUGGGGAGUACGCCGGCAACGGUGAAACUCAAAGGAAUUGACGGGGGCCCGCACAAGCGGAGGAACAUGUGGUUUAAUUCGAUGAUACGCGAGGAACCUUACCCGGGCUUGAAUUGCAGAGGAAGGAUUUGGAGACAAUGACGCCCUUCGGGGCCUCUGUGAAGGUGCUGCAUGGUUGUCGUCAGCUCGUGCCGUGAGGUGUCGGCUUAAGUGCCAUAACGAGCGCAACCCCUCUCCUUAGUUGCCAUCAGGUUAAGCUGGGCACUCUGGGGACACUGCCACCGUAAGGUGUGAGGAAGGUGGGGAUGACGUCAAAUCAGCACGGCCCUUACGUCCGGGGCUACACACGUGUUACAAUGGCAGGUACAGAGAGACGGUCCCUUGCAAAAUGGAUCAAAUCCUUAAAGCCUGUCUCAGUUCGGACUGGGGUCUGCAACCCGACCCCACGAAGCUGGAUUCGCUAGUAAUCGCGCAUCAGCCAUGGCGCGGUGAAUACGUUCCCGGGCCUUGUACACACCGCCCGUCAAGCCAUGAAAGCCGGGGGCGCCUAAAGUCCGUGACCGUAAGGAGCGGCCUAGGGCGAAACUGGUAAUUGGGGCUAAGUCGUAACAAGGUAGCCGUACCGGAAGGUGCGGCUGGAACACCUCCUUUCU